GGAGAGGUGACAGAGUGGUUGAAUGUACCGGUCUUGAAAACCGGCGUGGGUUUGCGCCCACCCAGGGUUCGAACCCCUGCCUCUCCGCCA
rnacentral:tRNA from 1 species